rnacentral:lncRNA from 1 species
CCAAGUUCAAGUUAGGGAAAUUCCAUUAAAAAAAAAACAAAAACAAAACACAUCAAAGUAUCAACAGCUGCCCUGGUUCUACCAGAAGACACCUUCCUUUGAAGCCUCCCUAUCUAGGGACAUUGUCAACAGACCUUUCUGAAUACUCUGUAUGCAGAGUACUGAAGACAAGAGGCUUUUCCUCGAAGAGUAGAAACAGUAAAUUUAUUUUGGCAACACCGGUCCUUGAAGCUAAAAGACCUGCCACUCUGCCACGACAGUGCCAGUCUUAUUUUGGUCUCAGUCAGACACUUUCACUUAGACAACAGCUGUGUACUAUGCAUGAAUCCAAGGAAAGUUGAAUGGAACAACAUGUGACUGCAUUUUCAUUCUUGACAUAUUCAUACAAAGGCUUCAAAUGCAGAAGCCAACUGAAGUUGAGCCUUAUUUUUAUUUUUUUUUCCUAAAUAAAGACAAAAGUUCUUUACA